rnacentral:lncRNA from 10 species
CUAAAGAAGUCUUUUCCAGCUUUAUGACCAGGAAUGUCUUUUCUUAUGAACCUGGGACUCAUCCUUUUGGAAUAUCGUUUACAAGGAAGAUGGCUGCCCUCUCUCCCAGCUUCUGUGAAAAGGGACAGCCGAGAAAGAAGGAAACAGUUCUGUGAAUAUUUCCGUAACUCUAUGGAGCUCCUGGAACUUCUGCCACCCUCUUGCUACCAACCUGUAGAGGAAACCAUCACGAACUUCAACAGAGAAACUGAGAACCUCAGCCCCUGUUGUCGUGGUUCAGCCACUGAGUCAACACACUCGGGGACCCACUUGAUAACUCAAUCAACUUGGAUAUUUCUCACCAUUGACUUAAGAAAGCAGAGCAGACACUGUGCUGGGGACUUUGAGCAAUGCAGAGGAAUGGAGAAUGCCCCCCAAGAACUUAGAAGAGAUGGACAUUUGCAUUAUUCUCUGUAAUGACUGCACAGUGUGAUUUGGCUUCUGACACACUCAUUGCUUUGGAGAGGAUGGUUAAGUCAGAAAAAAGACUUUUGAGACUCAAAAUUCUGGACCCCGAUUCUGCUUGGAGCCAAGAUAAAGUUGUGUUUGCUCCAGGUUAUCGGCAUUGUGCCUGCACUGAAUAAAAACAAGCAGCUCCAACUUCUCAGGGCUGCUCUCUGGCCACUAGAGCCAGGCAGUCACCUAGCUGCUGUUAUGCUGCAUACCUGUCUCUGAGUACUCGCUUCAUCCAUCGGCCAGGGUCUGUGGGACAGACCAGGCAGGUGGUGCCCCAUGUGAGGAACGCUGCAAUGGAUUGCAAGGGAACCCCUGAAAACAAAUGUGAAGUGACUGAGCAGUGUUAACCUUAGAAGACUAGAACCUAAUGAGUUAUGGCAAACAGAUGUUAUGCACGUCCCUGAAUUUGGAAAACUAAGGUCCUCUUUGGAUUCCAGCACGAGGCAUCAAACCAUACCAUGGCAUGGCUAGGACCCAACCCGGUACCAAAAUGAAGAAAAUGACCCUACAGGACCCACAAUCCCGGAUGAUGUGGCUUCCUUGGAUGACACAGGCCCUGGACAUUACCUGGGGGAUGCUGAAGAAGACAACUCAGGAGGCCAAGCAAAUCCUGCUCCAGGCACAGACACCAUUCACUCCAGGAACUCCAGAAGAGAAGGGCCUUUUUCCACUGUGUCCAUUGAUGAAUCUUCAUCACUGAGAAUGGAAUAUGCCACAUAGCAGAUGCUCAAUAAAUAUGUUGAAUUAUGAAACAAAUUAAAAAGCACUUUUAGUCAUAUUCAUGUUACCGUUAAGAUUACCAUUUGUUUGCAACUUCAUUGCUUUCCCCAAGAGAUACUUAGCAUCAGUUAGGGAUACUUUUAGCUGCAAGUAACAGAACAGUUAAGUAACAGUGGCUCAGACCAAUAGGGUUUGUGUUUCUCACAUAACAAACAAACAAAAACCUGGAGGUGGGUGUUUUCCAUAAUUGGUUUAGUGACUCAACAAAAUCAGGACCUCAAUUCUUACAACCCAAGUCACUUUUUCCUUUUGGUCUUAAAAUGGUGGCUGCAGCUCCAGCAGUCAUGUGCACAGUAAAGACAGGAAGGAGGUGGAAGAGGAGUCAGCAACAGCCGCAACUUCUCCAAUUUACAAAAGACACGAAAGCUUUCUCAAAAGCUGUGUUAUUUUCCCUCAGCAAUUUCCAUUUAUGUCUCAUGGGGCACCCUAGUGGCAGAUGAAUCUGGGAAUGGGGUAUUUAAUGUUAGCAGCCUCUAGCCUGUAAAUUCGGGUUAAGGAGAGGGUAAGGGCUUUGAUGCGUGUCUACCACACCCUUUUUUUCAAUUUAACGUAAUUGUUAAGCUUAAGAGUCAAUAAACACAUGAAAAGGUGGUGAACAUCAUUAGUCAUCAAGGAAAUGUAAAAUAAAUCACAAUUAUGAAACUCUAUGAGUCAUCACAAUGGCUGCAAUUAAAAAUCCUGGUGAGACAGGGAGUUGGCAGAGACGUGGAGUAACUGGGAUCCUCCUGCUUUGCUGGUGCAAUCAAUACAGCAAGAGAACAAUCACUCUGGGAAAUAGUUUGCAUGUUUCUUAAAAACGUAAGCAUUCUCAUCCAAUAUGAUUCAGAAA